AGUGAACGCUGGCGGUAGGCCUAACACAUGCAAGUCGAACGGCAGCACAGUAAGAGCUUGCUCUUACGGGUGGCGAGUGGCGGACGGGUGAGGAAUACAUCGGAAUCUACUUUUUCGUGGGGGAUAACGUAGGGAAACUUACGCUAAUACCGCAUACGACCUACGGGUGAAAGCAGGGGAUCUUCGGACCUUGCGCGAUUGAAUGAGCCGAUGUCGGAUUAGCUAGUUGGCGGGGUAAAGGCCCACCAAGGCGACGAUCCGUAGCUGGUCUGAGAGGAUGGUCGGCCACACUGGAACUGAGACACGGUCCAGACUCCUACGGGAGGCAGCAGUGGGGAAUAUUGGGCAAUGGGCGCAAGCCUGAUCCAGCCAUACCGCGUGGGUUAAGAAGGCCUUCGGGUUGUAAAGCCCUUUUGUUGGGAGAGAAAAGCAGCAGGUUAAUACCCCGCUGUUCUGACGGUACCCAAAGAAUAAGCACCGGCUAACUUCGUG
rnacentral:rRNA from 1 species